CUUUAUCCUACUGGAGAACAUGAGAUCAAAUCUUUUCCUCGAAAAAAUCCUGAGGUUGCUUGCUCUAUCUGGAUUUGUCUGGCUCGUUCCUUGCCGCUCCCCGUUGUCGGCAAGGUUCACGAGUACAAUUAAGAAGGCCCUCUUAUUACCCAUAUUGUAGAAACUGGAAAGAAUGAAAUUUAAAAUAUAUAUUAUUAUCUCCAACAACGAUAGGCUGACGAUUCGACCAUUUAGCCAUCUGAACGUGCUCACUAAAUUAUGUUUCAGUGCUGUUUUUAAACGAUUUUUUGAAAGCAUUUGAUAAUGAUGUCAAUCUGCUAUCGUAAAGGAUCCAGGUUCGUAUUCGUCCCAGACUAACGUUAAGCGUCACAGAUAGAACGACCAUGCGUCAUUUUCCAGAUGACAUCCAUGAUGCAUUGAAGUCCAUGUUUCAUGAAUAAAACUGAAAUCGACCAAAUAGCGUUAAUACCGGUGGCUUAUAUUCACAAGUCAGUCAAACCACAAUUAAAACAUCGUAGAAUUUAUUUAGAGUACAAAAUUCACAUAUUCACUUCAUUUAUUCGCUUAAACAUCAGAUUU